rnacentral:rRNA from 1 species
GACGAACGCUGGCGGCGUGCCUAAUACACGCAAGUAGAACGCACAGUUUAUACCGUAGCUUGCUACACCAUAGACUGUGAGUUGCGAACGGGUGAGUAACGCGUAGGUAACCUGCCUGGUAGCGGGGGAUAACUAUUGGAAACGAUAGCUAAUACCGCAUAAUAUUAAUUAUUGCAUGAUAAUUAAUUGAAAGGUGCAAUUGCUCCACUACCAGAUGGACCUGCGUUGUAUUAGCUAGUAGGUGAGGUAACGGCUCACCUAGGCGACGAUACAUAGCCGACCUGAGAGGGUGAUCGGCCACACUGGGACUGAGACACGGCCCAGACUCCUACGGGAGGCAGCAGUAGGGAAUCUUCGGCAAUGGACGAAAGUCUGACCGAGCAACGCCGCGUGAGUGAAGAAGGGUUUCGGAUCGUAAAGCUCUGUUGUAAGAGAAGAACGGGUGUGAGAGUGGAAAGUUCACACUGUGACGGUAUCUUACCAGAAAGAGACGGCUAACUACGUG